CAUUCUCCCUCCGCCAUUCCCACAUUCCCACAUUUAUAUAUAGAUUUUACAAAGCAACUAAUAUAAUUAGCAGGGCACGUUUUAAAACAUUUCUUUUUUUGUUUUAUCCGUUUCCUAUUAUAAAUGGGCAAAAACUCUGCUGCUAAAAAUUUAAAAGCUUCUGUAUAAAUCCGUCAUUUCUGUAGUUUUAAUCAAACUUAUUGGAAAUGGAGAGAGGAAGAUACCAAUAGAGCAAAGACAAUGGUUUAUAUUUGUCGACCUGGUAAGAGCUCGUGGUCGGAGCUGCUUGGAGCGAAUGGAGAAGCCGCUGCAGCUCUCAUAGAGAAAGAGAAUAAAAAGGUGCAUGCUAUUGUGUUACAGAGUCUGGGUUUUUAUUAACGAAUCUUGUGUAGUCGUUACAGUUCCGACAAUUGGUUAAGAGCACGCAGUUUUACUCUAUCUCCAAAUAAAUUAUGGAAUCGUUUAGAUUAUAAUGAAAUACAAGUUUCCUUCAAUAUACACAAGGUUUAUAUUAGUAAUA